GACGAACGCUGGCGGCGUGCCUAAUACAUGCAAGUAGAACGCUGAAGGAGGAGCUUGCUUCUCUGGAUGAGUUGCGAACGGGUGAGUAACGCGUAGGUAACCUGCCUGGUAGCGGGGGAUAACUAUUGGAAACGAUAGCUAAUACCGCAUAAUAGUAGAUGUUGCAUGACAUUUGCUUAAAAGGUGCAAUUGCAUCACUACCAGAUGGACCUGCGUUGUAUUAGCUAGUUGGUGGGGUAACGGCUCACCAAGGCGACGAUACAUAGCCGACCUGAGAGGGGGAACGGCCAAACUUGGAAUGAGAAAAGGCCCAGACCUCCAACGGAGGGAGCCGUAGGGAAUCUUCGGCAAUGGGCGGAAGUCUGGACGAGCCAAGGCGGCGGAGGGAAGAAGGGUUUCCGAUUGUAAAGCCCUGUUGUAAGAGAAGAACGGGUGGUAGGGUGGAAAGUUCCCACUGUGACGGUACCUUAACAGAAAGGGACGGCUAACUUCGUG
rnacentral:rRNA from 1 species